UGCUGAGAAGGCAAAAUUAAAACUGGAGAGAUGGGCUUCCCGAGAUGCUGGCAGUGGGGGAGGAAGAAGCGAAGAGUUGGAGACAAGUGGGGACUGUGAUGAUGAGGAUGGCUGCCAAGGAUCUGGUGACAGGAUUCACACAGCAGUGCUGUGCUGUAAGGAAGGAAGGGUCACUGCAUCUGGAGGUGGGAACUUGAAUAUGACCCCAAGUUCAGUGCCAGGUUAGUGUGGCUCCAGG
rnacentral:lncRNA from 1 species